GUUUUGGGUGACCUUAGUGGUCCUUAAGUUUAUUAUUUUUGUUAUCCUAUGAUCAAUUCAGCCAAUAAAAGGAACUAAAGUUGACUUAACUGUAGCACUGGAAAAAUAUUUGUAGUUUUUGGUUCUGCAGUAACCACACUCCAAGUCUUUUUUUCUGACAUUAGAGUAGAUGGGGUUGUAAAUAAGGGUUUAUUAAAUGCAAAGCAAUUAAACAUA